rnacentral:rRNA from 1 species
UACAGAGGGUGCGAGCGUUGUCCGGAAUUACUGGGCGUAAAGGGCUCGUAGGUGGCCAACUAAGUCGGACGUGAAAUCCCUCAGCUUAACUGGGGAACUGCGUCCGAUACUGGAUGGCUUGAGUUUGGGAGAGGGAUGCGGGAUUCCAGGUGUAGCGGUGAAAUGCGUAGAUAUCUGGAGGAACACCGGUGGCGAAGGCGGCCACCUGGGCCAAUAUUGACGCUGAGGUGCGAAAGCGUGGGGAGCAAACAGG